rnacentral:misc_RNA from 1 species
GAUGAAGAACGCAGCGAAAUGCGAUAAGUAGUGUGAAUUGCAGAAUUCAGUGAAUCAUCGAAUCUUUGAACGCACAUUGCGCCCCUUGGUAUCCCGAGGGGCAUGCCUGUUCGAGCGUCAUUUCACCACUCAAGCCUGGCUUGGUGUUGGGCGACGUCCCCUUUGGGGACGCGCCUCGAAACGCUCGGCGGCGUGGCACCGGCUUUAAGCGUAGCAGAAUCUUUCGCUUUGGAAGUCGGGGCCCCGUCUGCCGGAAGACCGACUCGCAAGGUUGACCUCGGAUCAGGCAGGGAUACCCGCUGAACUUAAGCAUAUCAAUAAGCGGAGGA